UACGUAGGGUGCUAGAGUUGUCCGGAUUUACUGGGUGUAAAGGGUGCUCAGGUGGAUUUGUAAGUCAGAGGUGAAAUCCCAAAGCUUAACUUUGGUGCUGCCUUUGAUACUGCAAGUCUAGAGUUUGAGAGAGGGCAAUGGAAUAUCUGGUGUAGCAGUGAAAUGCGUAGAUAUCGAGAGGAACACCAGUGGCGAAGGCGAGUCUCUGGACGACUCCUGACACUGAGGCACGAAAGCUGGGGGAGCAAACAGG
rnacentral:rRNA from 1 species